rnacentral:rRNA from 1 species
GUGCCAGCCGCCGCGGUAAUACGGAGGGUGCAAGCGUUAUUCGGAAUUACUGGGUUUAAAGGGUUUUUUUGCGGUUAAAUAAGUUGUCUGUGAAAGGCUACGGCUCAACUGUAGUAGUGCUGGCGAUACUGUAUAACUAAGGACAUGGGAGGGGUACCUGGAAUGUGUGGUGUAGCGGUGAAAUGCGUAGAUAUCACACAGAACACCGGAGGCAAAGGCGGGGUACUAGACCAUAGUUGACGCUGAGGCACGAAAGCGUGGGGAUCAAACAGGAUUAGAUACCCUGGUAGUCCACGCCCUAAACGAUGAUCACUAGAUAUUGGCGACAGACAGUCAGUGUCCAAGCGAAAGUGAUAAGUGAUCCACCUGGGGAAUACGGCCGCAAGGUUAAAACUCAAAGAAAUUGGCGG